AAUCAACGCUGGCGGCGUGCCUAACACAUGCAAGUCGCACGAGAAAGGGGAGCAAUCCCUGAGUAAAGUGGCGCACGGGUGAGUAACACGUGAAUCAUCUACCUCCGAGUGGGGAAGUAACUGAGAGAAAUCUUAGCUAAUACCGCAUAACACUUACGAGUCAAAGCAGCAAUGCGCUUGGAGAGGAGUUCGCGGCCGAUUAGUUAGUUGGCGGGGU
rnacentral:rRNA from 1 species